rnacentral:rRNA from 1 species
UACGUAGGCAGCAAGCGUUGUUCGGAGUUACUGGGCGUAAAGAGUGCGUAGGUGGUGCCCUAAGUCUGUUGUGAAAUCUCCCGGCUUAACUGGGAGGGUGCGGUGGAAACUGGGGUGCUUGAGUGUGGGAGAGGUAAGCGGAAUUCCUGGUGUAGCGGUGAAAUGCGUAGAUAUCAGGAAGAACACCCGUGGCGAAGGCGGCUCUCUGGAACGCAACUGACGCUGAGACGCGAAAGCGUGGGGAGCAAACAGG